rnacentral:rRNA from 1 species
UAACGCGUGAGGAACCUGCCUUUCAGAGGGGGACAACAGCUGGAAACGGCUGCUAAUACCGCAUAACAUAUAGGUAUCGCAUGGUGCCUAUAUCAAAGAUUUAUCGCUGAAAGAUGGCCUCGCGUCUGAUUAGCUAGUUGGUAGGGUAACGGCCUACCAAGGCGACGAUCAGUAGCCGGACUGAGAGGUUGGCCGGCCACAUUGGGACUGAGAUACGGCCCAGACUCCUACGGAAGGCAGCAG